rnacentral:lncRNA from 1 species
GCACCCUUCACUGUGAGCAUGGUCGAAUCCAUUACCAACUUAGACAUGACGCCAGCAGAUUGGGCUAACAUGUGUCGAUCUGUGCUAAAUGGAGGACAAUAUUUGUUAUGGAAGGUUGCCAAUGAGGAAUUUUGCAUGGAGACAGCUAGGCGAAAUGCAGCAGCCGGUUACCCUCAAAGAAAUCUAGAUAUGUUAUUAGGAAAAGGACCUUAUGAGGGUCAACGGCAACAAAUUGAAUAUGAUCCUGGCGUAUACGCACAAAUUGCUGUAGAUGCGGUUAGGGCAUGGAAAACUUUACAGGGGCAUGGAGAUUUACAAGGUCAAUUAUCUAAGGUAAUACAAGGAACUAAUGAACCUUACGCUGAAUUUGUAGAUAGGCUUAUUCAAGCAGCUUCCAGAAUUUUUGGGGAUACAGAACAGGCAAUUC